UAGUGAAAUAAAUUCUUCUCUCCUCCUCCACACCUCUUCUCCUCCCUCUUUUCUCUUCCAUGCCCAAAAGUUGGGUGUCCCCUUUUCUAUACGCCAAGAGGUAGUACUUUGUGACUUCAAGAGUGAAGAUCGAGGAGAAGAAGAAGAAGGCUACUGAUCAAGGUGUUGAUCCCACAGUCUAGAUCAAAGUGUUGAUCAAAGUGCUCAAGGCUAAAAUUUUUUUUAAGAAGAAAAAUCUUCUAUGAGGAGAAAUCAAUUCGAGAUUGAUCUCGAUGGAUAUCCAUAG
rnacentral:lncRNA from 1 species